GCUUCCCCGCCCGGCCGCCGCCAUGAUGAGGAGGUCGGCGCGGCUGUGCUGCGGGCAGGCAGCGGAGAGGGCUCGCGGCGAGGGCUCCAGCUUACCCCGCCGCCGCGUCGCGUGCACGGAGCGCUUCAGAGGUUUGGAGGGGGCCGGAACCUCAAAAGCAACUGGAUGAGCACAACGCGGACGCCCCGGAGAAGCGGCGCAAGCGGGCCCAAAAUGGUUGCUGAUCAGACGAGUGGCAUCUCUCGCCCCCCUACCGCGGGAAUUGGGACCUCCAGACUGUGCCUGGGGGAUCGGCAAGUGGUUCCCCUCUGGUUUUUUCGGCGCUGCCUUCCCGGUGGUAUCCUCACUCUCUCUCUUUGAAAUGACCUCUGCUUUCCUAUCUCUAACUCUUCCCAGAUAUUUGAAAGCAAGUUUUUGUACAAAGCAACAUAUGAAUGUAUUCAGCCAUUCGAUCGUUCGGCGAACAUUUCUAGGUGUCUCGUGCUGUGCCAGAUAUUGUUCUGAGUGCGCUGAAGAUGCACCUGUUAGCAAGACAAAGUCCUGGCUCCCACGGAGCUUAUUCGAAGCAAUAGGGGCCCCCAAGCAGGUGCCUGAGAAGUAGGGAGGGGUGGACAGUGGGAAAACAACCUAACGGUGGAGACACACGAGGGGUCUUUUUUUACUUUUAGAAACGGGGGUGGGUGGUCACCCUAUGUUGCCUAGGCUGGUCUCGAACUCCUGGGCCCAAGCGAUCCUCCCGACUCAGCCUCCCAAAGUGCUGGUAUUACAGGACACCAUGCCCGGCAGAGGGGUCGUUUUUGUUGUUUUUUUAGUGUCGUCAGGAGACUCCCUCCAUCAGAAUUACUCAGGCUGAUUGUUUUGAGUCCUGGGACCCAGUUGGUAUCCAGAAUCUUGGCUUGUUUGCCUAGGAACCUGCAUUUUCACAUCCCCAUCUCCACACCCCUGGUGAUUCUUAUGCAUAUAAUAAUGUGAAAAGCAUUGCAUUGAAGAAUUGCUAAAGGGUGUCAGAAAACGGAUUAACAAAAUCAGGAAGCUUUAAUUUUCAAGAUUCUAUUAACCUCAAAAUUCAACAUAUCCAAAAAUUGAAUGUCUUUUUCUCCAGUGUUUUCUAGGAGAGUGCCAACACUAGCCACCCAAGUGCUCAAGCCAGAAACCUGGAAAUGAUCCAUUACUCUUUCCUCUGUCUCUGGAGUCCCCAUGUUAAAUUAGAUGUGUUUGUUUGUGAGACAGAUUCUCACUCUAUUACCUAGGCUGGAGGGCAGUGGUGCAAUCAUUGUUCACUGCAGCCUCGACCUCUCUGGGCUCAAGGAUCCUCCCACCUCAGCCUCCCCAGUAGCUGGGACUACAGGUCCCCACCACCACGCCCGGCUAAUUUUUGUAUUUUUAGUAGAGAUGAGGUUUCAUCUUGUUGGCCCGGGCUGGUCUCGAACUCCUAGGCUCAAGUGAUCUGCCUGCCUUAACCUCCCAAAGUGCUGGGAUUACAGCCGUGAGCCACUGCACCCAGCCCCAAUUAGAUUUUUAAAACUGUUGUUCCCUGUCAGUUCUUACUCUGGUUCAGGCUACUGUCAUCUCUCCUAGAGACACUGCGGUAGACUCCUCUUGGUCUCCCUGCCACCGAAAUUGCCCUCUCCAAAUCCACUACAGCUUGAAUGGUCUUUCAAGAAAGAAAAUCAUGUUUUUUCCCUGUUUAAGACUCUUAAAAAGAUCUGAUUAACACGUAGGAUAAAGUCUAAAAUUCUUUGAGGUGGCUACAGGGCCAUUGGUGAUCUCAUCCCUGUUGCCAUCUCUGACCUCAUCUGCCACAGAUAUUUCUCAGGCUACACUCAAAACUGGGAAGCUCUCAGGUCAUUUAAGCCUGGAAAUUGUGCCACCUCACAACUGUUGCAAGGGCUGUUCCCUUUGCCCAUAACUUCAUUUCUCUCUACACCAUCUAUGCACUUACUUGAAUCCUCACCUGAAUAAUUCUUACCAUUCUUUCAGAUCCCAACAUUAAUACCAUCGCCUCCAGGCAGCAUUUUUUCAUCUCCCAAGAUUGGGUGCAUUAGACCCUUUGUCAUCACACCCAGUACUCCCCACGUUUAUUGAGCGCUCACGAUGCGUCAGGCCCUAGUGGAAGCCUUUAUGCACAUUAUCUUCUUUCUCAUUUAAUUAUCAAGUAGAGCCCACAAGGUAGGUACUACCUUUUUUUUAACUUUUGAGACAGGGUCUCACUGUAUCUCCCAGACUGGAAUACAGUGGCGCAAACACAGCUCACUGCAGUCUCAUCCUGGGCUCAAGCAAUCCUCCCAUCUCAGCCUCCUGAGUAGCUGGGACCACAGGCAGAUGCCUGUUGCCCAGGCUGGUCUCCAACUCCUGGGCUCAAGCCGUUCUACCUUAGCCUCCUAAAGUGCAGGGAUUACAGGUGUGCAACUGUGCCCGGCCUGGGUAGUUACUAAUAUUAUCCCAUUUUACAGAUGAAGAAACAAGGACAUAUAGGGGUUACUUGCCCAAACCCAGACAAUAAGCUAGAUCUGAAAGUCAUCAGCCUGACCUCAGAGUUGUACUUUUAACCAUUAUCAGGGUCUCAGGCCAGUACCCACUGAUGAAACACAUAAGUAACUUAGUGGGUCAUUACCAACAUUUCAUUAAAGAAAUAGAAAAUGGCAGAGAACAUCAAACUUAGUAAGGCUCUUGUUUCGUGAAACUUGUCAGAUUCUCUAAUAUGAUAAAUACUAAAUCUUACAAACAUUGAAAAUACAAAAUUAAACAAAAUAUUACCAAGGUUAACACAAAAGUAUGAAUACUGCAGAUCUGAUUUAUUUUACUAUCCUCAUCUUUAAUGCAGAACCUUCUUAGGAUUAAAUGACAUUUACCAUUCUGAGCAAACUGAGGUUACUGCCCCAAACGGACUGGGCUUACCUUUGCAGGAGAACAGGGGAGGCUGUGUUUUGGCUGGAGAUUUUUGGCUAAGAGUCAAGACACAGAGAUUCUUCUGCUACCACUGUGAACACAUCAAGUCCCUUUCACAUAGAUGCUGUUUCCACAAGGGUCUCCCCACACCCUUCCCUACAGAUUAGAUUCCCGUGAUGCCUUAUUUAAUUCUUGUUGGAUCUGUUGAUUUGGUUAUGAAGUAGGUGAAAUUCUGGUAACCUCACCCAGGUUCCUUCCCCUCUUGAUUAGAUCCAGCCAGUCUGUUCGCUGGAUGAUUAAAUUUGGCAUUCAUUUUUCUGUGCUUUCCCUAUCUGCUACUAUCCUAAAGUCAUUCUAAUGACCAAAAAAGGUGCCUUGAGCCAGACUGUAGAGGGUUCUAAUGGCCUCCUUAGAAAUUGUGUUUUUUUGUUUUUUUUUUGAGAUGAGGUUUCGCUCUUGUUGCCCAGGUUGGAGUGCAAUGGUGCGAUCUUGGCUCACUGCAACCUCCGCCUCCCGGGUUCAAGCGAUUCUCCUGCCUCAGCCUCUCAAAUAGCUGGGACUACAGGCAUGCGCCACCACGCCCGGCUAAUUUUGUGUUUUUAGUAGAGACGGGGUUUCACCAUGUUGCCCAGGCUGGUCUCGAACCCCUGACCUCAGGUGACCCACCCACCUCGGCCUCCCAAAGUGCUGGGAUUACAGGCCUGAGCCACCAUGCCUGCCAAGGAACUGGUUCUUAGUAGGCAAUAGACAGUUGACAAUUUUGAGCUAAGCACUAAGGUCAUAGGAGUGUAGAUUCACCAGGGAGUGAGUUGGGCUUCUGGUCUCUAGAGGGCGCUCAAGGCUUCUCCCUCCCCACCCUCUUCCUUCCCCCAAGGUGGAGGUAGGAUGGUGAAGAAAUUUCAUCUCCCCACCACCAAACACACACAAAGGAAGAAAAUCUUACUAAAAUUGGAGAAUAUGGAAUAACAUUUUCUUGGGAUGGAGCCCUUAAAAGAUAACACGUUCAACAGAAAGUGCUGCGUCUUUCCCGUUCUUCAACAUACUCUGAGUGGUAACAAGGGCUGCCCUUGCCUUUCUCAGAGGCAGCCCAGCCAGCUUGUUCUCUUUCCCUCUCCCACAAGGUAGCCAGGCCCUAAGGCUAUGGCCCACAGAAACACUGCUAAACACUAUGCAGCUAUAACAAAGAAUGAGAGAGCAUUCAGUAAGAUCACAUCCAAGAUAUGUACAUGAAAAACACAAGGGAUAGAACUGUGUAUAUGGCAAGCUAUCACUUGCAUUUUUUAUUUUUUAAAUGGUAUUUAUUUAUUUCUUGUUUUUUCCUUUUUUUAAGACUAAAAAAUCAAUUAUAAAAUCCUCAACCACUUGACUUUUUUUUUAAGUUCCUGGGUACAUGUGCAGGACGUACAGGUUUAUUAUAUAGGUAAACGUGUGCUAUGGUGGUUUGCUGCACCUAUCAACCCAUCACCUAGGUUUAAGCCCCGCAUGCAUUAGCUCUUUUCCCUAGUGCUCUUCCCCCACCAUCCUCCCCUGACAGGCCCCGGUAAGUGUUGUUCCCCUCCCUGUGUUCUCAUUGUUCAGCUCCCACUUAUAAGUGAGAACAUGUAAUGUUUGGUUUUCUAUUCCUGCAUUAGUUUGCUAAGGAUAAUGGCUUCCAGCUCCAUUUAUGUCCCUGUAAAGGACAUGAUCUUGUUUUUUUAUGGCUGCGUAGUAUUCCAUGGUGUAUAUGUACCACAUUUUCUUUAUUCAGUCUAUCAUUGAUGGGCAUUUGGGUUGAUUCCAUGUCUUUGCUAUUGUGAAUAGUGCUGCAAUGAACAUACGUGUACAUGUAUCUUUAUAACAGAGUGAUUUAUAUUCCUUUGGGUAUACACCCUGUAAUGGGAUUGCUGGGUCAAAUGGUAUUUCCAGUUCUAAAUCUUUGAGGAAUCGCCACACUGUCUUCCACAAUGGUUGAACUAAUUUACAUUCCCACGAACAGUGUAAAAGCAUUCCUAUUUCUCUGCAAUCUCACCAGCAUCUGUCAUUUCUUGACUUUUUAAUAAUCGCCAUUCUGACUGGUGUAAGAUGGUAUCUCAUUGUGGUUUUGAUUUGCAUUUCUCUUUUUUUUUUUUUUUUUUUUUGAGACAGUUUCAAAAACUUGUUGCCAAGGCUGGAGUGCAAUGGUGUGAUCUUGGCUCACUACAACCUCUGCCUCCUGGGUUCAAGUGAUUCUUCUGCCUCAGCCUCCCAAGUAGCUAGGAUUACAGGUGUAUGCCACCACGCCCAGCUAAUUUUUGUAUUUUUACUAGAGACGGGGUUUCACUAUGUUGGCCAGGCUGAUCUUGAACUCCUGACCUCAAGAGAUCUGCCCACCUCCGCCUCCCAAAGUGCAGGGAUUACAGGCGUAAGCUUCCACGCCCAGCUGAUGGUAGUUUCUUUUGCUAUGCAUAAGCUCUUUAGUUUAAUUAGAUCCCAUUUGUUGAAUUUUGCUUUUGUUGCGAUUGUUUUUGGCAAUUUUAUCAUAAAAUCUUUGCCCAUUCCUAUGUCCUGAAUGGUAUUGUCUAGAUUUUCUUCUAGGGUUUUUGUAGUUUGGGGUUUUACAUUUAAGGCUUUAAUCCAUCUUGAGUUAAUUUUUGUAUAAAGGUGUAAGGAAAGGAUCGAGUUUCAGUUUUCUGCAUAUGGCUAGCCAGUUCUCCCAUCACCAUUUAUUAAACAGGAAAUCCUUUCCCCAUUGCUUGUUUUGGUUUGUCAAAGAUCAGAUGGUUGUAGAUGUGCGAUUUUAUAUGUGCUGCCAAAGUGAGCACUAUUUAUUUAUUUUUUUAAACAGAGUCUCACUGUGUUGCCCAGGCUGGAGUGCAGUGGCAUGAACAUAGCUCACGUAGCCUUAUUUGCAUUUGUAAAAGGGAAAUAUGUUUUGUUUUGUUUUUUGAGACAGAGACUCACUCAGUCGCCCAGGCUGGAGUGCAGUGGCACCAUCAUGGCUCACCACAGUCUCAACCUCCCCAGGCUCAGGUGAUUCUUCCACCUCAGCCUCUGGAGUAGCUAGGAUUACAGGUGUGCGCCACUACACCCAGAUAAUUUUUUUUUUCUUGAGAUGGUGUCUCGCUCUGUCACCCAGGGCUGGAGUGCAAUGGUGUGAUCUCGGCUCACUGCAACCUCCGCCUCCCAGGUUCAAGUGAUUCUCCUACCUCAGCCUCCCAAGUAACUGGGACUACAGGCACCUGCCACCACACCCAGCUACUUUCUGUAUUUAUAGUAGAGAUGGGGUUUCGCCAUGUUGGCCAGACUGAUCUUGAACUCCUGACCUCAGGUGAUCCACCCGCCUCAGCCCCCCAAAGUGCUGGGGUUACAGGCACAAGCCACCGUGCCUGGCCCUUUUUUUUUUUUUUUUGUAUUUUUUUAGUAGAGACGGUGUUUCACUGUGUUGUCCAUGUUAGUCUUAAACUCUUGGGCUCAAGAGAUCUGCCCAACUUGGCUUCCCAAAGUGCCAUAAAGGCAUGAGCCACUGCACCUGGCCAUAAAAAGGAAAUAUGUAAACAAACAUCUUUGCUUACAUAUGUUUAUAUAUCCCUAGAGAAAUACGUACAAAAUUGAUGACAUUAAGUGGCCUGUUUAAGAGAAGUGGGGUGGCUGGGGGUCAGUAGUGAAAGAGAGUCUUUUUAGUGUUUAUAAUUUGAAUAUUUUAAAUCUUGAACCUUUUGGAUGAAUUAGCUAAUGAAGAAAAUUAGUUUAAAUUGCUUUUAAAAAUAAAUAAGUAUGAGCCGGGUGCGGGGGCUCAUGCCUGUAAUCCCAGCACUUUGGGAGGCUGAGGCGGGCGGAUCAUCUGAGGUCAGGAGUUCGAGACCAGCAUGGCCAACAUGGUGAAACCCCGUCUCUACUAAAAAUACAAAAAUCAGCCAGGUCUGGUGGCAGGCGUCUGUAAUCCCAGCUACUCAGGAGGUUGAGGCAGGAGAAUCGCCUGAACCUGGGAGGUGGAGGUUGCAGUGAACUGAGAUCACGCCAUUGCACUCCAGCCUGGGUGACAAGGGCGAGACUUCAUCUCAAGAAUAAAUAAAUAGGCCAGGCACGGUGGCUUACGCCUGUGAUCCCAGCACUUUGGGAGGCCGAGGCGGGCGGUUCACAAGGUCAGGAGAUCGAGACCAUCCUGGCUAACAUGGUGAAACCCCGUCCUACGAAAAAUAGAAAAAAAUUAGCCAGGUGUGGUGGCGGGCGCCUCCCAGCUACUGGGGAGGCUGAGGCAGGAGAAUGGCGUGAACCCAGGAGGCAGAGCUUGCAGUGAGCCAAGAUCACUCCACUGCACUCCAGCCUGGACGACAGAGCGAGACUCCGUCUCAAACAAACAAUAAAAAUAAAUAAAUAAAUAAAUAAAAUAAUUAAUAAAUAAAUAAAUAAAUAUGUAAUCCCAGCACAUUGGGAGGUCAAGGAGGGUGGAUCAUCUGAGGUCAGGAGUUCGAGACCAGCCUGGCCCAGAUGGUGAAACCCCGUCUGUACUAAAAACAUGAAAUUAGCUGGCUGUGGUGCUGCAUGCCUGUAAUCCCAGCUACCAGGAGGCUGAGGCGGGAGAAUUGCUUGAACCCGGGAGGUGGAGGUUGGAGGUGGAGGUGGCAAUGAGCUGAGAUCACGCCAUUGCACUCCAUCCUGGGUGAUAGAGCCAGACUCCAUCUCGAAAAAAAAAAAAAAAAGACAUAAAUAAAUAAAUAACCCCAAAGCCCAAAUACGAUACUGAAGUAUGGAGCUGAGUGACAGUAGCUCCAUUAACAAAAAUAAAGAACUCAGGAAGGGAAGUGCACUUGAGAAAAAUAAUGAUGUGUUUGGCUUGGGAUAUACAGAGUCUGAGAUGCCAGUUGUACAUACAUAAAAGAGAAGAAGCCCAUAAGCAACGGAGGAGGGCAAGCAAUCCAAUAGGAAGUUUGAAACAGCUUUGUCGGAAUAGUUACUGUGGAGUGGUGCGAGCAAAAGCCAGAAUUCAAGAGGCAGCAGGAUGAAGGGAAAGUGGGAAUGUAUUGGUAACUAGAGUAGUGUCCUUUAAGAGUGGUGGAUGGAAAGGGAGUGAUGGAGAGGUUGUGAUAGCUAGCGAAAGCUUGGGAUCAAGGCAGCAUGUAUGUAUUGGGCAUGAGGGAGAUUGAACCUAGUUAGAGGCUUCUGGAAAGGAAUCAGUAGAAAAAGAGGUUGAAGUGAUGUUUUUUGUUUUGUUUUUUAAAAAAAGAGAAUUAUGAAUGCAGGGGGUUAGAAAACAAAAAACAAGGGGAAGAAGGAAGGACAGGAGAGGGUGUGGACUUGAGUGUUUGCAGGGGCCCUGGGAGGGAGAGAGAUGUCAGGCUGGUUGGUCCCUGCUUUUCUAUGAGGCAAGAAACAAAGUCAUCUGCUGGAAGGGCCCCCCACCGCCAGUCAACAGGGAGCGGGCAGCAAUGGCGAAGGUGUGGAACAGGCCUUGUGGAGGGAGAAGGUGCCAAACAAGGGCAGGCAAGGGAGCUGACCGCCAGCGUUGAGGACCCAGCUGAAACUAGGACCCACUCAGAUAUGUUGACACCAGUUGACAUGGCUCAUGCUUUCUGGAAACUUCAACAGCAGACCACAGACAUUCAGGUGGCUAACGCAUACUUUUGUUUGCUUGUUUUGAGCUUUCUGUUCUGUUAAGUGUCAACUUAGGGUUUUCUUGCUGGUUGGUUGGUUGGUUGGUUUUUCUAAUUAUGGUAAAAUAUAUUGUAUUAGUUUUCUAGGGCUGCCUUAAAAUCCCACAAACUGGGUGGCUUACACAACAGAAAUGUAUUCUCUCACAGUUCAGGAGGCUGGAAGUCUGACAUCAGGUGUCAACAGGGUUGGUUUCUCCUAAGGCCCCUCUCCUUGGCUUGCAGACACAACCUUCUAACUGUGCACGUGCAUGUCUGGUAUCUCCUUCCCUCUCCCUCUCUCUCCCUUUGUGUCCCAGUUUUUGUUUGUUUGUUUGUGUGUUUUGAGAUGGAGUCUUGCUCUGUCGCCCAGGCUGAAGUGCAGUGGCAUGAUCUCAGCUCACUGCAACCUCCGCCUCCUGGGUUCAAGCGAUUCUUCUGCCUCAGCCUCCCAAGUAGCUGGGAUUACAGGUGCGCACCACCAGACCUGGCUAAUUUUUGUAUUUUUAGUAGAGACAGGGUUUCACCAUGUUGGUCAGGCUGGUCUCGAACUUGACCUUGUGAUCCGCCCACUUUGGCCUCCCAAAGUGCUGGGAUUACAAGCAUGAGCCACCGCACCUGGCCUAAUUUCCUCUUCUUAUAAGGAUGCCAGUCAUACUGAAUUAGGGUUCUCACUAACUCCAUUUUUACUUAAUUACCUCUUUAAAGGCCCUGUCUCCAAAUAGUCACAUUCCGAGGUACUCAGGAUUAGGGUGUCAGGAUUCAAAUUGGCAGGAAGUGGGACGCAAUUCAGCUCAUAACAUACGCAUGACAUAAAUGUACCAUGUUAACAAUUUCGAAGUGUAUAGGUCAGCGUUUUUUGGGGGUUUUGUCUUUGCCUUUGUUUUUUAUGUAUUCAUGAUGGUUUGUGUGUCUUACUGCUUACUUGCUUUCUGUAACAUGAUGAUAUCCCAGGCAAAAAUAAGAUGUCUCAGGCUCAUUCUGGCCACAUACUAACAAUCAGCAUUCCUAUAAAAAGCCCAGGUUCCAGUUAGUGAGGAAUAUUUAUAGACUGCAAUUUAGACACUGGGAGAGAUCAUGACUACUGGGUUGUCAUUUCAAUGGACAGUGCUAUGAAAUAAGUAUUUUUGAAAACAACGAAAAUAGUUUAUAUCGAUAUUUCUGAUUCAAAUUUAACCAUCCAAUUGUUUAAUUAACCUUACUGAUUUUUUACCUAUAUCACUUUUCUCUUACACUGAAAAUAUUAGUUCUAAUAACAUUAAGACAAUUACCUAUUUGCUUUAUAAUGUAUGUAAAAUAGCUUCAAAGUAAUAAUCUCAAUAUUACUAUUUACAGCAAGACUAUUGAGGAAAUUGUGAGAUUUCUUUGCAUCUUUGUGUGCUUUAAAAAAAUUUUCCACUAAGGAUGUAUAGUCAAAAUACUAUGGUCUUGGCAGGGCAUGGUGGCUAACGCCUGUAAUCCCAGUGCUUUGGGAGGCUGAGGCAAGAGCUUGAGCCUAGGAGUUUGAGACAAGCCUGGGCAACAUAGGGAGACUGUCUCUACAAAAAAAAAAAAAAGUUUGUUUUGUUUUUUUGAGACAGUCUUGCUCUGUCGCCCAGGCUGGAGUGUAGUCGUGCAAUCUCGGAUCACUGCAACCUCCACCUCCUGGGCUCAAGCGAUUCUCAUGCCUUAACCUCCUGAGUAGUUGAGACUACAUACUUGGCUAAUUUUUGUUCUUUUAGUAGAGACAGGGUUCCACCAUGUUGGCCAGGCUGAUCUCGAACGCCUGACCUCAAGUGAUCCACCUGUCUCAGCCUCCCAAAGUGCUGGGAUUACAGGUAUGAGCUACAGCCCCUAGCCAACAACAAAAAAAUUUUUUUAAGUAGCCAGGCAUGGCGGGAUGCACCUGUAGUCGCAGCUACUCAGGAGGCUGAGUCAGGAGGAUUGCUUGAGCUCAGGAGUUUGGGGCUGCAGUGAGCCGUAAUCGUACCACUACACUCCAGCCUGGGUAACAGAGCAAGACCCUGUGUCAAGAAAAAAAACAAAAAAGAAAAAACUGUGGUCUAAAGACACUUGAAAUAAUCUUUUUCUCUUUGUUAUAAUACUAACUUGAGAUACACUUAAGCUCAUUAUUCCUGUUGUGUUAAAAAAUGUGUAUUGCCCACUUAAGUGUCUGCAUACUACUGUGGAAAGUCAUGGAAUUUUUUUAGUGUAAUUUUUGAAUUAUUUUGGAUUUUCUUCUUUUUUUCUUUCUUUUUACUUUCCUGUGUUAUUUUAGGAGGGAUAAUUACUUUAUUGGUUGUUUAGUAUUUUUUGAGAGACAAGGUCUCACUCUACCCAGGCUGGAGUGCAGUGGUGCAAUCACAGUUCACUGCAGCCUUGAACUCUUGGCCUCAAGCAAUCCUCCUCCCACCUCAGACUCCUGAGUAGCUGGGACUACAAGCACAUGCCAGCUAAUUUUUCUCUUUCUUCCUUCCUUCCUUCCUCCCUCCCUCCUUCCCUCCCUCCCUCCUACCUUCCCCUCCCCUCCUUUCUUUCUUUCCUUUUUUUUUUUUUUUUUUUUUUUAAGAUACAGGGUCUUCUCAUGUUGCCCAGGCUGAUCUCAAACAAUCCUCCUGCCCCGCCUCAGCCUCCCAGAGUACUGGGAUUACAGGUUUGAGCCACCAUGUCCAUUCCAUCUCUACCUUUUAAUUGGGAUAUGUACACUGUUUCCAUUUAAUUGAUGAUUGAUAUGGUUGGCUUUAAAUUUAUCAUCUUUUCUUUUUUUGAGACAGAGUUUUGCUCUUGUUGGCCAGGCUGCAGUGCAAUGGCGCAAUCUCGACUCACUGCAACCUCUAGCUCCCGGAUUCAAGCGCUUCUCCUGCCUCAGCCUCCCAAUUAGUUAGGAUUACAGGCACGCACUACCAUGCCCGGCUAAUUUUUGUAUUUUUAGUAGAGGCGGUGUUUCACCAUGUUGGUCAGUCUGGUCUCAAACUCCUGACCUCAGGUGAUCCACCCAUCUUAGCCUCCCAAGUGCUGGGCUUAUAGGCGUGAGCCACCACGCCAAGCCUAAUUUUUUGUAUUUUUAGUAGAGAUAGGGUUUUGCCGUGUUGGCCAGACUGGUCUCGAACUCCUGACCUCAGGUGAUCCGCCUGCCUUGGCCUCCCAGUGCUGAGAUUACAGGCGUGAGCCACUGUGCCCAGCCUAAAUUUAUCAUCUUACAAGUUGUUUUCUUUUUGUUCCAUGUGUUUCUUGUUCCUUUUCUCCAUUUGCUUGUUUUCUUUGGGACUGAGGGUUUAUUUUUCUUUUACAAUUCCUCGUUAUCUCUACUAUUGGCUUAUUAGCUAAACCUCUUUGUGUAUUUAUUUAUUUAUUUUUUUAGUGGUUGCUCUAGAUUUUACAAAUGUACACUUUUAUCACAAUCUCCUUUCAUUUGAUAUCACUUCACAUUUAAUAUAAGAACUUAACUGUAAUAUAAAUCAAUUUCUGCCAACCUGUCCCUUCUGCUAUUUUUGUCAUAGGUUCUUUUCUACAUAUGUUAUAAAUGCCACAGUACAUUAGCCUAUUUUCUCUAACAGCGAUUAUAUUUGACUAAUUUUAAAAUGAGGGUAGCAUAUGAAAAGAUGCUCAUUAUUUGUCAUCAGAGAAUUGCAAAUUUAAACCACAGUGGGAUACCACUACAUACCUAUUAGAAUGACUAAACUCCAGCCGGGCACGAUGGCUCAUGCCUAUAAUCCCAGCACUUUGGGAGGCUGAGGUGGGUGGAUCACGAGGUCAGGAGUUUGAGACCGGCCUGGCCGCCAUGACGAAAC
rnacentral:lncRNA from 1 species